rnacentral:siRNA from 1 species
CCGUUUCACAUGCGGAUUGUUGC